CUGCUACUUUGACUUUACCAUGGGGGACACUCAUUCAACAGCGACUUGUGGAGAGCUCAUCAGCAUUUGGACUAAAUUAGCCUAGAUGGGGGAAAAGGUUCAGCUUAUCUGACCUGGAGAAUUCUUCCAACUCUUCAUUUAUAACUGACAUAUGACAAGUCAAUUAUCAGCUCAUCCACUUACUCCAACUCGCUGUGAAUAAACUCCUUAGUGUAGCACAUAAUAAUAAUUGGAAUAUUCUAGUGAUCGAAUGCUGAAGGAAUCAAC